UACGUAGGGUGCAAGCGUUUAAUCGGAAUUACUGGGCGUAAAGCGUGCGCAGGCGGUUAUAUAAGACAGUUGUGAAAUCCCCGGGCUCGACCUGGGAACUGCAUCUGUGACUGUAUAGCUAGAGUACGGGUAGAGGGGGAUGGAAUUCCGCGUGUAGCAGUGAAAUGCGUAGAUAUGCGGAGGAACACCGAUGGCGAAGGCAAUCCCCUGGACCUGUACUGACGCUCAUGCACGAAAGCGUGGGGAGCAAACAGG
rnacentral:rRNA from 1 species